GGUGCCUCUGUGCCAUGAGGUUCUGAACACCGACCCAGGCCCAGCAACUCCUGUUGUGCUGGGAAUGAUGUGAUGAUGGUGCAGCUCCUGCCACCAUGCUGUUUACAGAGCCCAGGCAUGCAGGUUGCUCUGGAGGGCUGGAUCUGCCUGUAGAAAUAUGCAGUCACCUGACUGGGGCCUCGUCAUCUUCACAGGCUGUUUUGUAAACAGUCAUUAUAAAUAAUAAAUCAACAGCAUGCUAAUGAAAUGAGCUCUUUGCAGGAUGCUUUAGAGAAGCCUCUAAUUUAAUAUAGAAGAAACUCUAAUCUGCUCUGCCAAGUUACAAAGAGGAUUAAACUAUCUUCCAAUGAUGGUGAAAUAUUCAGGCUCUGUAUUAGCAGCAUAGGAACUGAGGGAAGCAUUCAGAGGCACAGAGGAGAGGUCAGUUCCCCAGUCCUGCUGCAUUUGAAGAACUGUUGUACCACGGUGCCUGGAAAACCUAUUAAAUCACAGACCUCACAUCCAUGAAGAUCAAACCUUGCUAUCAGAUUGGUGGGCACUGCCUUCACCCUUCAGUGAAUUUAAAUAAAUCUUUCUAAGUCAA